UGGAUUCGAAUGAUGAGCUUGGGGACCAGAGAUCCUCUUUAUACCCAUCUUCUGGCCACUCCUAUGGGAAGUGAGGCACCCCAGGAAUGAUUUGAAGAUAAAGAGCUGUGGAAGAAACGGACCGAAUAUGAGAUGCAUACAUUAGAUCACCUGUUUAGAUGGAGAAUUAUUGCCUUUUCCUAUUUUGCGGCUUAAAUAUAAAUGACAGGUCUCACCAUCAACUUGGCUCAUUGCAUGGUUGAAUGUGUUAAACAACUUCCGUCUCUCAGCAAUGUGUCUGGUGAAGGCAACAAGUGGAGGACAACCCACACUGGAACUUGAAUUAUGACCUACAUAGGUGCUUUGCCCACACAUAGAUGCAGUGAAUGAAGACACAAAACAACAGUGCAUGAUUUAAAUAUGGGCCACAAAUUCAUAAGCCUGAUAUGCAGCAUUCUUGACUAGUUCAAAGCAAAAUUCCCAAACUUAAAGCAGGUAUGAAUGCACCCAAGGAGGAAAAGUCAAUCAAAAGAGUCACAGGGGCUGGAAGAACUUUCCUCCACGGAUCAAAUAAAGCUGCUUUAUAGAGUCAGAUCAAUGGUCCAUCUAGCUCAGUACAGUGGUACCUCGGGUUACAGACGCUUCAGGUUACAGACUCCGCUAACCCAGAAAUAGUACCUCGGGUUAAGAACUUUGCUUCAGGAUGAGAAAAGAAAUUGCAUGGCGGCAGCACAGCAGCAGUGGAAGGCCCUAUUAGCUAAAGUGGUACCUCAGGUUAAGAACAGUUUCAGGUUAAGAACAGACCUCCAGAACAAAUUA